rnacentral:rRNA from 1 species
GUGCCAGCCGCCGCGGUAAUACCGGCAGCACGAGUGAUGGCCGAUAUUAUUGGGCCUAACGCGUCCGUAGCCGGCUGUGUAAGUCUAUUGGGAAAUCGACGUGCUCAACGCGUCGGCGUCCGGUAGAAACUACACGGCUUGGGGCCGAGAGACUCAAUGGGUACGUCCGGGGUAGGAGUGAAAUCCUGUAAUCCUAGACGGACCACCAAUGGGGAAACCACGUUGUGAGAUCGGACCCGACGGUGAGGGACGAAAGCUAAGAUCGCGAACCGGAUUAGAAACCCCUGUAGUCC